GACGAACGCUGGCGGCGUGCUUAACACAUGCAAGUCGAACGGAAAGGCCCUGCUUUUGUGGGGUGCUCGAGUGGCGAACGGGUGAGUAACACGUGAGUAACCUGCCCUUGACUUUGGGAUAACUUCAGGAAACUGGGGCUAAUACCGGAUAGGAGCUCCUGCUGCAUGGGGGGGGUUGGAAAGUUUCGGCGGUUGGGGAUGGACUCGCGGGUUAUCAGCUUGUUGGUGGGGUAGUGGCUUACCAAGGCUUUGACGGGUAGCCGGCCUGAGAGGGUGACCGGCCACAUUGGGACUGAGAUACGGCCCAGACUGCUACGGGAGGCAGCAGUGGGGAAUAUUGCACAAUGGGCGGAAGCCUGAUGCAGCAACGCCGCGUGCGGGAUGCCGGCCUUCGGGUUGUAAACCGCUUUCGCCUGUGACGAAGCGUGAGUGACGGUAAUGGGUAAAGAAGCACCGGCUAACUACGUG
rnacentral:rRNA from 1 species